rnacentral:rRNA from 1 species
ACGAACGCUGGCGGCGUGCCUAACACAUGCAAGUCGAACGGAACUGUUUUGAAAGAUUUCUUCGGAAUGAAUUUGAUUUAGUUUAGUGGCGGACGGGUGAGUAACGCGUGAGUAACCUGCCUUCAAGAGGGGAAUAACAUUCUGAAAAGAAUGCUAAUACCGCAUGACAUAUCGGAACCACAUGGUUUUGAUAUCAAAGAUUUUAUCGCUUGAAGAUGGACUCGCGUCCGAUUAGUUAGUUGGUGAGGUACGGCUCACCAAGACCGCGAUCGGUAGCCGGACUGAGAGGUUGAACGGCCACAUGGGGACUGAGACACGGCCCAGACUCCUACGGGAGGCAGCAGUGGGGGAGAUUGCGCAAUGGGGGCAACCCUGACGCAGCAACGCCGCGUGAAGGAUGAAGGUUUUCGGAUUGUAAACUUCUUUUAUUAAGGACGAAAAAUGACGGUACUUAAUGAAUAAGCGCCGGCUAACUACGUG